rnacentral:rRNA from 1 species
AUUGGACGCUGGCGGCAGGCCUAACACAUGCAAGUCGAGCGGAUGAAGGGAGCUUGCUCCUGGAUUCAGCGGCGGACGGGUGAGUAAUGCCUAGGAAUCUGCCUGGUAGUGGGGGAUAACGUCCGGAAACGGGCGCUAAUACCGCAUACGUCCUGAGGGGGAAAGUGGGGGAUCUUCGGACCUCACGCUAUCAGAUGAGCCUAGGUCGGAUUAGCUAGUUGGUGGGGUAAAGGCCUACCAAGGCGACGAUCCGUAACUGGUCUGAGAGGAUGAUCAGUCACACUGGAACUGAGACACGGUCCAGACUCCUACGGGAGGCAGCAGUGGGGAAUAUUGGACAAUGGGCGAAAGCCUGAUCCAGCCAUGCCGCGUGUGUGAAGAAGGUCUUCGGAUUGUAAAGCACUUUAAGUUGGGAGGAAGGGCAGUAAGUUAAUACCUUGCUGUUUUGACGUUACCAACAGAAUAAGCACCGGCUAACUUCGUG